rnacentral:rRNA from 1 species
CCCGUAGGGGCCAAGCGUUGUCCGGAUUUAUUGGGCGUAAAGAGCUCGUAGGCGGUUCGACAAGUCGGGUGUGAAAACUCCGGGCUCAACCCGGAGACGCCACCCGAUACUGUCGUGACUGGAGUCCGGUAGGGGAGUGGGGAAUUCCUGGUGUAGCGGUGAAAUGCGCAGAUAUCAGGAGGAACACCGGUGGCGAAGGCGCCACUCUGGGCCGGUACUGACGCUGAGGAGCGAAAGCGUGGGUAGCAAACAGG